GUGGGGAAUCUUGCGCAAUGGGCGAAAGCCUGACGCAGCCAUGCCGCGUGAAUGAUGAAGGUCUUAGGAUUGUAAAAUUCUUUCACCGGGGACGAUAAUGACGGUACCCGGAGAAGAAGCUCCGGCUAACUUCGUGCCAGCAGCCGCGGUAAUACGAAGGGGGCUAGCGUUGCUCGGAAUUACUGGGCGUAAAGGGCGCGUAGGCGGACAGCUUAGUCAGAGGUGAAAGCCCAGGGCUCAACCUUGGAAUUGCCUUUGAUACUGGCUGUCUUGAGUUUGGGAGAGGUGAGUGGAACUCCGAGUGUAGAGGUGAAAUUCGUAGAUAUUCGGAAGAACACCAGUGGCGAAGGCGACUCACUGGCCCAAUACUGACGCUGAGGCGCGAAAGCGUGGGGAGCAAACAGGAUUAGAUACCCGUGUAUCC
rnacentral:rRNA from 1 species